rnacentral:lncRNA from 1 species
GAGGUUGAGAUUUGAUGGAUGAGAAGGAGCGAGCUAGGACAAGAGAAGAAGAGAGACAGUGUUCUCAGUGGAGGGACCUUCUUGUGCAGAGGGCGUGAGCUGGAACCAGACCAGCAGUUCCAAGGAACGGAGAAGCUGCCGUGCAGGGCUGGAGUGUGAUGAGCAAGGCAGGAACAGCACAUCAUCCGGUGAGAGAAGCAGACAGCGGCCAGGCCACACAGAGCCCUGCAGGGCACGCUGGCAGAGUUGCUUGAAAUGAAGCCGUUCCCUGAAAAGCACACAUGAAUUUCCCCUGCGGAAAAUUCAAACAGACACACUUGAGGAUUUCCACUAAAUUCUCUCUGGCCCCCAGAGCACUGGGGAAGCAUGUGAGACCUGUGCCAUCCCGGAACUGUGGCGACAAUGGUAGUUAACGUCCAUCAUCUGCAGGCACCUUCAGGAUGUGGAGCAUGCAGAGAUGACUCACGCCCACACCGGUGACCUCCAACACACCAGGGAAGGCAGGAAAAGGCUGUGUGCCAGGAUCUUGUUCUGGGCUAGAAAAGUAUGCCUGUUCGUUACCCGACCUUUGCUAAGUACACCAACUAAUGGAGCGAGAGACAUGAAAGAUCUUCACAGGCCAUGUGGAAAUGUAAUUCAAACCCAGCCCGAGGAGGUCAUAGCCUGAUGCAGACAAACGAGGUAAACUUGGAAGCCAUAAGGUUGAAGACGGCGGAGCUAAAACAAGAAAGGAGGCUGGAUCCCUGAGUCACCUUGUGGAAGGCUGCCUGCCUACCAGGAAUGCUACAUUUAACAUGGGGUAUGACUUAUGUGGGUCCUCUCCUUGGGUCUCACAAGGCUGACAUGUGAGUGAGAAACAGAUUUUUAUUGUGUUAAGACAUUGAAGGUAUGGGAUAUGUUUCUUACAUCAGUUGAUAUCGCCUUAACCAAUAUACCAGUUUGCACUGUGAAUGAGAAAAUGAGUCUGCAUCCACAAUGUCCAUGCUUUAAGAGCUUCUAGGAGUUUUAGGAGUUUAUUUGCCAUGCUCUAUAAAGUCUGCACAAUGUUUUAAUUCCACUUCACAGAAAGGUUUUCUUUCCAAACCCUCUUCAGGGGCCUUCCCUAUUAAAAAAGCCCAUUUAUAGAAACUACUACUUAGCAUUUUUGGAACUUGUUAUCCUAUUCAGCAGAGUCUAAGUCAGGAGGCUUUGAACUCGGACAAUUACUGCUCUUGAUUAACAACAAGAACUGAUGAGUUGGCCUUUCUAGUGUGCUAAGCAAACUCAGCCAAGCAGAAAAUAUCACUGAAGGGGAAACAACGGGAAGUGAUUUUCUUGGUUGCAUUAUGCGCCGUCGCGAUAUUUACACAUGUUUGUGGAUAAUGUGGGAACCUCUGCUGCUUGCAUGCCCUUCCAGAUGACACCACUGGGCUUGAAACGCCAUGUUUCCCACCUGACCUGGGCUGUAAAUGUCAUCCUGUGACUGCAGGCAGCCAGCCCCAGGGAAAAACCACAGCACUGGGAGUGGUCAGGCCCCUUGCAGGAUCCCCACUCCAACCCUUUCAAGUUCUAGCCCCUCCAGGUACCCUGGGGCCAGCACCUAGGCCUAGAGAUUUGUUUGUUUGUUUGUUUUUUAGAGAUAGGGUCUUGCUAUGUUGCCCUGGCUGAUCUGAAACUCUGGGCCUCAAGCAGUCCACUCACCUUAGCCUCCUGAGUAGCUGGGAUCACAGGCAUGAACCACCCAACCCAGCUGGGGUUAGAGAGUAACAGCAGCCUUGGCCUCAUAUUGUAAGACAGCUCAGUGGCCGGAUAGAUGGGUGUUCAUUUCUUCUCGCCCUCGCCAGCACUAGGUGUUUUUAAAAAAUGAUUUUUGUGAAGUCAAAUAGUGUUUUCAGUGUCGGAUUGAACAUUGUGCUCAUUUAUGAGUGUUCUGUGGAUACCUUUACCCAUGUCUCUAUUGAGGGUGGUAGGAUUUUUCAUAAAAUUGCAUGCACAUUUUUCAUGUAUUAAAGGCAUUAUGCCUUUUCACAUUCUUUAGAUUUUUCCAACUUCUUUAUCUUUGUAUUUUGUUAAAUGUUUUUGGAUACAUAAAACUAAAAAAAGAAAAUCAUAAGAUUAAAUAUUUCAAUCUUGUCCUUUGAGACUUUUCCAUCUUUUUAAGCUUAUAAAGUCAUAUUUCAUAUGGAAGUUUGAAAUAUAUUCAUCUAUAACCCCAUUCAUUCUAUUUAAAACUUUUUAAAGAAACUCUUGGCUCCACUAGGAAUUUUUUUGGAUGGAAGGUAUGAGGUAAGGAUCUUCCUGGGGGCCACAUUUGGGAGUUCAGAUCUGAGGGGCAGAAGCCUCUGGCUUUGGACAAACAGGGGCAGGUGUCACUGGGGUUAGGGGUGGCAUAGCACGGGCAGAGGUAGUGUUGAUGGGUGAAGAGCAGGUCCCAGCUGGGACUGCUCUCAGGAUCUGGGGGUCUCCUUCUUCUCAAAUGGUGUCAUGGACUAAAUUGUGUCACCCCCACAUUUAUAUGUUGAAGUCCUAACCCUCAGUACCUUAGAAUGUGACUGUAUUUGGAGACUGGGUCUUUGAGAGGUAAUGAAGUUAAAAUGAGGUCUUUAGGGUGGGCCCUAAUCCAGGGUGACUGAUGCCUGUGUAAGAAGAGAUUAGGACACAGACGCAUCCAGAGGGAAGGAGGUGUGAAGACACAGAGAGAAGGCUGAGAAGUAACCAACCCUGCCUGACACCUUCAUCUUGGACUUCCAGCCCCAGAAUUUCGAGAAAAUAAAUUGUUUCGGCCACCCAGUGUGUGUUCCUGUGCUCUGUACCCUAACAGACUCACACAGGCAGGUUCUUUGCUAAACGUCCUCAGAGCUGGUCUGUAGUGGAGCUUGCAGAGGCCCCCAUCACGAUCUGCUGGGAAGACCAAGCAAGGAGAGCAACGUCAACUUUUAAAAAUUAUCUUCAAAUUGUGUGUAAUGCACGUGCACUGAAGAAAAAUCAGGACAU